rnacentral:rRNA from 1 species
UACGGAGGGAGCUAGCGUUGUUCGGAAUUACUGGGCGUAAAGCGCACGUAGGCGGCUUUUUAAGUCAGGGGUGAAAUCCCGGGCUCAACCCCGGAACUGCCCUUGAAACUGGAGAGCUAGAAUCUUGGAGAGGCGAGUGGAAUUCCGAGUGUAGAGGUGAAAUUCGUAGAUAUUCGGAAGAACACCAGUGGCGAAGGCGACUCGCUGGACAAGUAUUGACGCUGAG